rnacentral:rRNA from 1 species
AUUCCUACGGGAGGCAGCAGUGGGGAAUAUUGCACAAUGGGCGAAAGCCUGAUGCAGCGACGCCGCGUGAGCGAAGAAGUAUUUCGGUAUGUAAAGCUCUAUCAGCAGGGAAGAAGAAAUGACGGUACCUGACUAAGAAGCACCGGCUAAAUACGUGCCAGCAGCCGGGGUAAUACGUAUGGUGCAAGCGUUAUCCGGAUUUACUGGGUGUAAAGGGAGCGCAGGCGGUACGGCAAGUCUGAUGUGAAAGCCCGGGGCUCAACCCCGGUGUUGCAUUGGAAACUGUCGGACUAGAGUGUCGGAGGGGUAAGUGGAAUUCCUAGUGUAGCGGUGAAAUGCGUAGAUAUUAGGAGGAACACCAGUGGCGAAGGCGACUUACUGGACGAUAACUGACGCUGAGGCUCGAAAGCGUGGGGAGCAAACAGGAUUAGAUACCCUGGUAGUCCACGCUGUAAACGAUGAAUACUAGCUGUUGGGGAGCAUUGCUCUUCAGUGGCGCAGCAAACGCAAUAAGUAUUCCACCUGGGGAGUACGUUCGCAAGAAUGAAACUCAAAGGAAUUGACGGAAU